UACAGAGGGUGCGAGCGUUAAUCGGAAUUACUGGGCGUAAAGGGCGCGUAGGUGGAAAUUUAAGUCAGAUGUAAAAUUCCCGGGCUUAACCUGGGGCGGUCAUUUGAAACUGAAUUAUCUAGAGUGUAGGAGAGGGAAGUGGAAUUUCCGGUGUAGCGGUGAAAUGCGUAGAUAUCGGAAGGAACAUCGGUGGCGAAGGCGGCUUCCUGGCCUAUGACUGACACUGAGGCGCGAAAGCGUGGGGAGCAAACAGG
rnacentral:misc_RNA from 1 species